UGGGUUCCGCACGGCGAAAGUCCGUGAACUCCGCCAGGAUCGGAAGAUAGCAACGGUAAACGACCGCUUUCGGGUGAUGUGGAUGUGCCUGU
rnacentral:SRP_RNA from 1 species